GAUGAACGCUGGCGGCGUGCCCAAUACAUGCAAGUCGAGCGAACGGACGAGAAGCUUGCUUUUCUGAUGUUAGCGGCGGACGGGUGAGUAACACGUGGAUAACCUACCUAUAAGACUGGGAUAACUUCGGGAAACCGGAGCUAAUACCGGAUAAUAUUUUGAACCGCAUGGUUCAAAAGUGAAAGACGGUCUUGCUGUCACUUAUAGAUGGAUCCGCGCUGCAUUAGCUAGUUGGUAAGGUAACGGCUUACCAAGGCAACGAUGCAUAGCCGACCUGAGAGGGGGGUCGGCCACAAUGGAACUGAGACACGGUCCCGACUACUACGGGAGGACGCAGUAGGGAAUCUUCCGCAAUGGGCGAAAGCCGGACGGAGCAACGCCGCGGGAGUGAUGAAGGUCUUCGGAUCGUAAAACUCUGUUAUUAGGGAAGAACAUAUGUGUAAGUAACUGUGCACAGCUUGACGGUACCUAAUCAGAAAGCCACGGCUAACUACGUG
rnacentral:rRNA from 1 species